CGAAUCUCAAGCCCAAAUACAAUCACCUAACCGAAUCAAUGGAUAGGAUCCAUUCCAACCUUCAAACUUAGGCAUAAAACCGAAUCCGGUGUGACACGAAUCAGCUUUCUCGCCGCUCCUUCCACAUGUCCCUCAAAUCGGUCUUGAAAAUCACCAAACCAGAAAAUCGCUUAUCAGGAACAAAGGAUCGUGUUUUUAGCUUUUCAGAUUCAUAUUUUGAUUAAGGAUGAAUGGUAUCACGACUCCAUGUUUGUCAAUGGAGUUCAAGGCUUCAGGGACGCAACUCCACCUUAGUAUAGAGUUCUGGUGUUUUCCAUCAUCGCGCUCUGGGAUUGGCAAUGACGUCGCAUUUGCACUGCAUUUGUGAAAGGCACCGCGUGAUCCUCCUUCAUGCUCAAAUAGAAGUCUCGUAUGCGAUUCAAUCAUCGACAUCGCGUAAUCACCGUCGCGUCUUCAUAAACUUCCGCUCAUGUUCCAAUGAUUCGAACGCCCGCAGAUUCAUAGUCAUCGACACAACUUGAUUCCUCCGCGAGCGUCAACUGUCGUCGUUCUGCGAAAAUCGCCGUGGAGCCUCGCCUUCACCAUUAUUGUAUUUCAGAACAAGACGAACAUCUUACAAGGACUCUCUUCACCAAGUUGAUUCCAAUCGAUGAUUCAAAUCGAUUUGAAGAUGCGCGUGCGCAAAAGCUGAAACAAAAUGAAGUGUGAAACUCACCGGAUUCGCCGCGGCUGUAAGAACAUAGUUAUGGCUGCGGUGGUUAUGCAGCGAAGUGUUCACGCGAGAGGGAAGUGAGCUUCUCAAAGAUGAACUGUGAAGAGUGAAGAUUUUGAGAAAUGAUUCGAGAGCCAUGAAUUGGAGAAAUGGAAAGGUAUUUAUACAGGUUUAGAAGUUGAAUUAAAAAUUAGGUUAGUUACAAACGGUUAGAGAUUCUGUUAUGGAUUUGUUAGAGGGUUUUGUAACUGAUUUCUGUUUGUUGUGAAUUGGUUAGAGGGUUGUUAGAAUUAGUUAGAAAUUCGGUUAGAAUUCUGUUAGUUUUAGUUGUUGUUUUUUCAAAGUUCUUUGUGAAAGUUUAUGUUGGUUUUUUGAUAUCCAAAAACUGUUAUGCUUAUCUUUAUUAUUAUCGAUUCUGGCGGAGUGGAUUGGCUUCAAUGCCGGUAUGUGGAGGCUGGUUCAGUUUUGUGUGCGAUGGCCUUGAGUCUAUAGUUAAGGUUUUCAAUAGGUGGUUAUGUUUUGUUGGAGAUCGAAGCAAGGUUGAAGAGUUAGAAGAGGGCAUUGUGAAGUUCUGUUGAAGGUCGUGAAUCAUAGGCCUUCCUGAACUUGAUGCUCGGAUUUUGGAGGUUCGUGCGUCGCCGCCUUGAACUGGAGUUGUUGUUUCGCUCAGUUGUUGUGGUGCACCCAUGAAAUACAGAUGGAGCGCCACUGUUAGUGAAAAUGACAUUGAGACAAAAUGGUGAGUUAGUGCACUUAGAGUUAACGGAUUGUUUAGUAGUUAGGAUACUGAGAUUUUUUGUGCACUAAGUUUCUAUUGCUUAAAUGGAAAUGAAUUGAUGAAUGAACUGAAUUAGUGAUCAAAACAGAUAAUGUGCAGUUGAAAUAAUUAUUGAAACAAAACAGGAAUUUGAAAUGAUUUAAAAUGUUAGAUGGAAUUGGGAUGAAGUUACCUGUCACAUUUAGCUUAAAAUUCUGCUAUUUUAAUGUUAGGAACUCAACAAAUUAUUAUCCUAUUGAAUGCUAAACUGUUUGUCAUUGAAAAUUUGGCUAGUGGACUAUUGUUUUCAUGUAUGCCCUCAUUCUAAUAUGUGAUGAUGUUAUCAGUUAGUUAUAAGAUUGUUAUAAUGAAGCUGGUUGGUUCUAUUAGAAAGAAAAAUGCAGGUUGGAAAAUUGUGCAGGUUAUUGGAUUUAUGCAGGUUGAUGGGUUUAUGCGAGUUGAUGCUUGGAACCGGGUGCAAUGGUCAUGCUUGAGUGAACAUGUUAUGUUGGUCAUGGUUUAUUGGAUUGUAAAUUGGUGGUUGAAUUGUAAUAUGUACGUAGUACGAGUGUAUUUAGAAAAUAAAUUGGAAUGUAUUUGGGUUAUGAUUAUCGAUUUGUAAUUUUUGAAUGAAAAUUGUAUUGGAUUGAAUGAAUUAUUAUAUUAUAAUUUGGAAAUUGGGUUGGCUUUUGCAUGGGA